GAUGAACGCUAGCUACAGGCUUAACACAUGCAAGUCGGGGGGCAGCAUGAACAUAGCUUGCUAUGUUUGAUGGCGACCGGCGCACGGGUGCGUAACACGUAUCCAAUCUACCCAUGGCUCGGGGAUAGCCUUUCGAAAGAAAGAUUAAUACCCGAUGGUCUCGGUUUAAGGCAUCUUAGACUGAGUAAAGAUUUAUCGGCGAUGGAUGAGGAUGCGUCUGAAUAGGUAGAUGGCGGGGUAACGGCCCACCAUGCCUACGAUCAGUAGGGGUUCUGAGAGGAAGGUCCCCCACAUUGGAACUGAGACACGGUCCAAACUCCUACGGGAGGCAGCAGUGAGGAAUAUUGGUCAAUGGACGAGAGUCUGAACCAGCCAAGUAGCGUGAAGGAUGACUGCCCUAUGGGUUGUAAACUUCUUUUGUUUGGGAAUAAAGUUCGGGACGUGUCCCGUUUUGUAUGUACCAUUCGAAUAAGCAUCGGCUAAUUCCGUGCCAGCCGCCGCUGUAAAAC
rnacentral:rRNA from 1 species